rnacentral:lncRNA from 10 species
CAGGAAAUUAAAUUGAAGGUGAGAGAGGUGUACAAGCCAAGAUCCAUCUGUAGAGUUUCUAAGGUUUGAGUCAAGAUCCAAGUCUGUUCAGUGAUAUAUUGUCUCCAGUUCUAUAAAGUGAUGGGUCAGAAAAUUACCAUUGUGUGAGUGUUUAAUCUAUGCCCAGCACAGUGUUAGGUAAUUUGAUGAAAGUAUUUCAUUUAAUCACCAAGUGACCCUGUGAAGGAUGUAUUAUUAAACACGCUGUUCAGAAAAGGACACCAAAGCUCAGAGAAGGUCUUUGAGAACCAAAAUGUGAGACUGCAGGGGAAACUAUGUCUUCAUUCACCUAGGGAUCACAUUGGAACCUGUGAACGACAAGACAUUUGACCAUCAACCCACCAUUUCCACACAGAAGUGUCAGAGUUGAGAGUGAGCUGGGUGUACAAGAAGCAGCUGCAAGGCAUCAGGGAAGUCCCUGAAGCGGGAUAAAGAUGCACUGGCAAGAUUUCCUCGACAAGGCAGAAAUGAGAAACAUGACACAGAAGCCUUUAAGGGUGACCUCAGAGGAAAACAGAAGUUGCUGGAUGAUACAGAAGCAGAAAAGGGAAAACCAGAGCUCCGAGGCACCGCGUGUCAACCACCAGAUGGAUUAGCUCUGCUGAUCAACCGAUCAUGGAGUGUGGAGCCAGAAGCAGAAAGGGAGGAGAAUAGAGAAAUAAAAGGGAGGGGAGAAGACACAAAAGGCUUAGCUGUAGUCAUAGCAGUGUGGGCUCUAGAUUGACAUGGGCAUGGGUUGGAAUCCCAGCUCUUUCUGGAAAAUUGCUGAAACACCCUAAGCCCCAGUUUCCUCAUCUGUAAAUGAAAAGUAUGGUAAUAGCACUAUGAUAUGGUUUGGCUCUGUGUCCCCACCCAAAUCUCAUCUCAAACUGUAAUCCCCACAUGCUGGGGGAGGGGCCUGGUGGGAGGUGAUUGGAUCACGGGGGUGGUUUCCCCUAUGCUGUUCUCGUGAUAGAGUUCUCACGAGAUCUGGUUGUUUGGUAAGUGUGUGGCUCUUCCCCCUUCUCUCUCUCUCUCUUCAGUAAGACGUGCCCUGCUACCCCUUUGCCUUCAGCCAUGAUUGUAAGUUCCCUGAGGCCUCCCCAG